ensembl:lncRNA
CCAGCAGUAAAAUGGAGGCGUGGGUUUUUAGGAGGCAGACACCCCGUGCUAUGAAAAAACCCAGCCCAGUCAACUCUCCAGCACAUCUCGCAACAAGAGGAUUGUGAUGUAUCACAUAUAACAUACCAUAUAUGCCUUUUCCUGACAGACCAUGAGGAAGAUAGAUAGAUGUAGAAUAUCCUGAGUUAGAAAGGACAUACAAGGAUCAUCAGGUUCAACUCCAGUGUUUUCCAAACCAGGAAAAAUAAUACUCAAAGGAUGGACCACUUCACAGGAGCUGACAGCUGCUGAAGGACAUGAGAAAUAUGUCAAAAAUGCUUUUUUUUUCAGUUCUCAGGAUUAACACCAGUGAAAAAUGGAGGAUAGCUCUUGUAGAUGUUGCUGGUGAAAGAGGUGAGACCGUACAGCUCCAAACAUUGGCUGUUUCCAGGAGCACAUCUCUGCUGCCAUUUCUGAGUCAUGAUUAUAGAAAACCUCUGUAAGAGCUUGGAUGUACCACCAGCACUUGACGUGCAGCAGAUAAACUUGCAUAAGAAAGACCUGGUAAUGUCGAUAGUGAUGACAGCAAAUCAACCUUCCAUGUCGGCAUAGGGCUGAAACCAAAGAUAAAUCUACAAGAAGAGACUUCUAUGUUGAUGCCACCUCUGCAUCACCUUGGGGCCUUUCCUUGCUCCCCAGGAGCCUCAGCAAUUAUUCCUAGCACAAGGAAUUAAAGGUUGACUCUUCUAAAAGAAAGAACAGAUUUUCAUUGGAAGGAAAAGCCUCUUGGCUGAAGAGCACAAUGGUGGAGUAGAAGCAAGAGGACAUCCUCUGGUCAUGCGGGAAGCUCUCAUGUCUACACAGCCUGAAUCCUCACCAUGAAAAGCUUUGAGGAGAAAGGGAGAGACUGGGGCAGAGAAAAAUGGACACAGCCUCCCAUGAGUACAGCAAAUGCCUCCACAGACUCUUUCAAAGCUCCAUAUUCACUGAUAUACACUCAGCGUCCCUCUUUUGUAUGACCUCUUGAAGUUAUCCCCACUUUGAUUUUCCGUGAUCAUAACCCAAACUUUUCCUUCUUUCUUUCUUUUUUUUUUUUUUUGUUGUUUUGUUUUGGUUUUGUUUUGUUUUUGGUUUCUUUGUGGAGUGAAAAGGAGGCUGACCUUCUUAAAACAGAGGAACAUUUCAGAGUUAUCCAACACAUGAAAUUAUACUUCCAAAAAUCAGAGAUGUUCUCCAGUACUCAUUAAAGCUAGCCAGAAAUGGAACUAAUAUAAACCUUGGCCAUUCUCCCAGCUGAGUGCCCUAAUAAUAGAAAUGCCCCUCUGACUGAGUAGCUGAUACUGGGGUUCUGCCAAGUCAUUUCCAUUAAAAAGAGCCAUUGGUGACAGACGUCCAGUACAAUAUCAUUGGUGGAGUCCUGCUUGUCUUUCUUAGUGCACCACUGGCAUGAGCAAGAAAAAGUCCAUUUUCCAUGUCCUGUUUUCAGUUCUCUUUCUGUAAUUAGCACUUUCCUGAUGUCUCUGCUCUUCAUGAGGUCUCUCCAAAGCCUGCUUCUCUUUACUUUCUGGUUAUGGUAUGUGCACAAACGCUACAAAUAAAUUCACCCUCUCACCCUUGCAGCAGCUUGUAGAAAGCCUUCCAAGCCAAUGUAACUGAGUUGGGGAGCAGUGCUGUGUGCAACCCAUUGCUGGUGGGUCAAUUUUUUCUAUCUCUAUUAUUUUACAAGGGUCACUUCUUCCAUCUAGCCUGAAGGAAGAAUUGCUAGUGAAAUUGAGGGAAGCUAUUAAACCUAUCAGGUUGCAGUGGCUAGAGAUGAGAGAUAUGCACAAAGAGGCCACAAAAGCCACUGUUGCUUGGCCAUAUGGCCAUUUAGCCACUGUUAGAAAACACCACUGUAAAGGCUCCAGAAACAUCUAAAAAGUGAUUUGCACAAGCUAUGAUAACAGUAUUCAAACAGCUGUAAUGUAUCUCAUCUUGAACUACUCCAAGGACCAACACUGUUUGCAUCUUAAUCUAGAUACUCUUGGACCUGUCCUUUUCUACAAGGCAAGAUUUCUUGUUCUUCAUAGGACACCUACGAAGUUGGGUGGCUUUUCCAGGCAUUGGUGUCAUAGGAAAUCUCCUUGGCCAUGUCUGGGGUUUUUGGAACCUGUCUGUGUCAUUGUGGCUCCUUUGCCAGCAAAAAGUGCAGGGAAAGGCUGAAGAGCUCAUCAUUCAUCUUUUUCCUUCUGUCUUAUAAAUAUUAGCUCAGAUUUUAACUUGCAGAAGAGAAGUACCUCAAUAGUUCUCCCAAUCACAUUUUAUGCCAGACUCUUCUGAUAUGACCUUAUCAGAGAUCACUGGGCAGAAUGCCUGCUUAACAAAACUCACUGCAGAUACAUCUGAGUGCUGCCAUUUGCAGGAUACCAGAUCCAUGCCUCGGCUGUUUCAGAUGACAUACAUAUUUAAUCCGUGGCAGUAUAUUAGCAGAUCAGACUUAGAUUAAUCAGGCUGAAGGUAACUUUUGGAUCUUUUCCACAAUUAGGUCAGAGAUAAAUAUGGUAGAUUGUUAUGUGCCACAACACAAGCAAGCACUGGGCAGCAGGUGAAAUUGUCAGGGACAUCAGCCAAAGAGAUACUGUGAUGAGAUUAAGGGAAGUGAAGUCAAUAGCAUCUUUGUGUAUCUUCAUGUGUGUGCACAGAUGUGAUUUGAGCUUUUCAAUUUAAAGAAGCCGCUAAUUAACACUGAAUUUUUCUCUGCUGUUAUAGCAGUGAACGUACAAAUGUGCUUUAUGCUAAAAUAUCCUUUUCUAUUUCCUUAGUGUUGUAAAAUAGGUCCUGCCCACUGAUACUGAUAGAGAAAGCUGGAGCUAGAAUAGCAACACAGCUGUUCAAAACCAAGGGGAAGUCCUUAUUUUUGAGGCUCAGUAAUGAUUGAAAUACAGUCAGCAAACAAAAGGGAAUUAGUACCUUUAAAAUGCAUUUAGGGUGUCCAAUAUAAAAUGUGACAGUGGAUAUUUGUGGGACAAUUUUCUGCAAAUUAAAAAUUGAGCUAAGGGUAAUAAAUCAAAGGAAAUAUUUAAAAGCUCUCUAGCCUUUACCAGUACCCCUUGGAAAGGGCUUCUAAAGUACUAUUCUACACACACAUUCUGAUGAGAGAAAAUUUUGAUUAAAAUAUUAAAAUGUUUUUGGGAUUUUUUUCAUUUUUAUGCUCACUUAUUGCACUUGUAACACCAGGAGGGCAAGUGGUGAUACCUUCAUUACAGUAAUUCAAGGAAAAGAAGUCAGUGGACUCCAAAGUGAAAAGCAAAUGUGCUGUAACAGUGGAAAGCUAAGAUGCAGCUGAGAUCUUGCCCACAGUGAAGCUUCCUAAAGGAUUCUUCACCUUCAAACUGCAAUGGUUAGGAUUACAUCAGUACAGAGGUCAGUACAGUACAAAAGUUUUUACUUGAGUUGCAAUAAGAAAAAGAAAAAAAGAGAGAGAGAGAUGUAUAUAUACGUACACAUAUUUUUUCUUUGUUUCUUUCAUGGGUUAGUGGAAAAUUCUGAUAUUCUUCCAAGCAGGGGACAUGCUUUCAGGGUCCUAUAGCAUUGCAUGUGAUACACAUGAAAGGGGAACUCAGCUUCCCUGUGGCAGGUAGCUCUUCCAGAUAAUAGCUUUUUUAAGCUAAUGCCUUGGUAAUAGCCCAUCUCCUUAACCAUCCUCUGAAGAGUAUCAUUGGCAAGUACAAUUAGGUCCCACACUUCUCUCAGAAGAUGGAUCCCACUAGCUUAUUACAGGAAAAAUAUACUCACUCUCCUUUUUCAAAGGUUAACUAGCUCAUCACAGAUAUUUAUCAAUUCUGUUCUUGUUGGCCUCUCCCAAAAGCAGCAAUCCAUGUCUGUCCUUCAUACUUCAAGCAAUGGUCUAGAGGACACCUUUCUCCACACAGUGGCAGUCUUCUUACAGACUCUCAAACCUCUUCACACCAUUUCUGGCUGCCAAUGCAGAGAGAGGAGGUAGUAGUGUCUCCAAUGUGAAAUAAAUGUCUAGUGCUCACAUUCUCUCAGUGGAAAAUGCUUGCUAGAGGCUCAGUCUGGCUCUACAUGCAACAUUCUUAUUUGGAGCUUGCGUCCUAUCAGGCAUUUUGCAGUAGGAUCUUCAAUUUUAUUAGCAGGACUGUACCCAGGAGACAAGAGCGAAAUUAUUCUGUAAAUAUGUAUUUUAGAAUUGAUUCUUCUUUGAUGAGUUUUCGUCCUUCCCAUUAGUCUUAUCUGGAGGGGAUUCUGCUCCUGGCCCCACCACUGCUUUGCUUUUGGCUGUUUCUUGGCCGUUUCUUGGCCAUUUCUCAUCCCUGAGAGUGACCUUUCUCCCAUUCCCCUUGACAGGUCUUGCUCAAGGAUGCUGUGCUGAGUUGUUGUGUACACUGACUGGGUCUUUUCCCAACCUGCUCCUUGACAGCACUCUGGAGCUCCCCACUGAACACCUGGCGGUGGGAUAGGCUGUGUGUGCUGGUAAAAUUAUCUUUGAGCUGUCACCUACAGCAUGCUUAGAUUCAGAAUAUGCUGCAAGCCUCAGAGGCCUUCUGAAUGGCAUAUCCUAGGUUUGGUCCUCAGGAGCACCAUGAAAAUCACCCUUGUACGUGUGGCCCUCCUCCCACACCAAACAUUAGUGGUGCCUCCUCCUUUCUCUGCUCUCACUGCCCCACUCUGGAGCCACGGUGUUCUGCGUAAUGACCAUUAAAGUUGUUUUUCUAGGGCAUAUCCAGAUUGCUCUGGAUUGCUCCGUCUCAGGGGCCGUGCAAGGCAGACAAAGGGCACUUGAAGCUCAAAGAAGGGAAUUUCCCAGGACCAAAAGUGCAAAGAUGGCAUUGAUUCUGCUACAGUGUUGUGAAGAUUAGCAUUCUGAGUCACCUGGGGGAAAAUGAAUCCAUUUUCCCUGGUUCCAUUCUAAUUCAUUUGCCAAAGAAAAGGCAAAACAGAAAUCUGUGGAACUUUCACCUUUGUGUCAAUGCACUGUCACUAAGAGCUACUAAAGAACAUAUUCCCCCUCCGGGCCCUCUGAGGUCACAUAGUUUUUCACAGAUAGCGGAAAGAGGAGCAAUGGCUCCAGCUGCCACCAUCCUAGCACUUUGCUAAAAGUCAGAUUCAGACUUUUUAGUUAGCUGAAAAGGCUGUGGUUUUGAAUCAGUUAUAUAGCUGUUCAGAUGACUAGAGAGCAUUUUAUAUUAUUUGUAUCAGUAAAAAUGUAGUGUUUAGCACAAGUAAAAUGCUGUCAGGAUCCCCAGAAUUAACUUCUUUUUCAUUAAUACUGCCUCACAGGCUUUCUCCAUAGCAAGAACAUUAAUUGAGCACUUUCGUUUCAGUGGGAACUCACAGAACUGAACGCAUGCUUUUCACAAAGUCAGUUUUCUUAAUUAUUAUUUGAGAUGCUUGUUUUGACUCAAAUUUCUAUUCUUCCUUAGAGGAUGCUGAAGAGAACUAAUCCACUCUGAAUAUUUUCCCUCCCAGAUUAUUUCUGCUACUUAGCAUUGGAAACUUAUCCUUCAUCAGGGACUGAUCUGGAAGCUGGUGAAGUCAGUGAAGCCCUUUUUAUAAUUUUUUUUCUUCUGAUUUCCAUGAGCACUGCAUUGGAAUUAGAAGCAAACUGGCUAUAUAAGUUUGUCUGGAACUGGUGAAACUGCUCUUGUUCUGCAGCUUAGCCCUAAAUGUGAUGACAUUUCACAUUUUCCAUGCAAAAGUAGGAGAAGUAUCUUCAAAUUGCAUAAAUAUCUUCCUUUUCUCUUCCUGUCAAGCCAGAGAAGAUUAAUUUUUAAAGUAAAAUCUGUAGGGGGCAUUUAUGGAGAAAGUGUGACUGCUCAGAUUACUCUUCUAGGCAGGAGUUCCUUCAGGCAGCUUUGGUUUUGGCUUUCCAGUUCUCAAAAGAAGUUUAAGACAUGAACUUCUAUGUUGAAAAGCAUUAGAAUAAAUUACCUUGAAGGCCUGGAAGAAGCUGUUAUUUUUUAAGAUAUUGGAUUAUAGAUAAUGAAAAUAAAUAGAUUCAUUAAAAUAUUUCCAUGCUACUUUAUGUAAUGCUGAUCUCAUCCUAUAGCUUUUGUUUCUUUGUACCUUGCUGUUUUCUAAUUUUAAAGAAUAAGGAUUAGAGAGCUCUACAUAUUCUCUUUAUGCCCACACAUUAAAUUUAUUCUCUCUGUAUUUAGAAAUAUAUUUCUAAACAUAGAAAUGUAAAUAUUGUGCUGAGUCAGAUCUUCUGACUAUAUUCAUGAAUCGUAGGAUCAUAGAAUCAUUUCAAUUGGAAGGAUCCCUUUACGGUCACCUAGUCCAACUCCCUUCAAUGAACAGGGAUACCUACAGCUACAUCUGGGUCCUCAGAGCCCAACCAGCCUGACCUCGAGUGUCUCCAGGGAUGGGGCAUCCAUCACCUCUCUGGGCAACCUGUGCCAGUGCUUCACCAAUAUUAUAAAAAACUUCUCCCUUACAUCCAAACUAAACCUCCUGUCUUUUAGUUUGAAACCAUUUCUCCUUGUCCUAUAACCACAGACCCUGCUAAAGAGUCUGUCCCCUUUCUUCUUAUAGCCUCCCUUUAGAUACUGAAAGGAAAUGUGACUUCAGGUGAUGCAGAACCCUGUUGCUGAGGUUAGGAUACCACUUCAGCACAGUGAGAGUCCUUUGCAGGAAAUGCCAAUGUCUGCAAUCUCACAGAUUACUUCCACAUUCCUCUAGAAUGUUUUCAGUAACAUUACUUAUUUAACGCUGUAAGUUUUGGCUGCUGCCUCACCUUUUCUCAGCAGCUCCUGGGCCACCAAUGUCAAUAACAGGUUUGAAAAAAGAUGAAGGGCUCUAGCAGUUCAGCCUGCAGUAGCUAAAUAUAAUUUUCCCAUCAGUUCUUUCCUAUUGCCUAUUUCCUACUGCAUCUCAUGCUGGGGAAGAAGUGAAGCAGGGUGAGAAAGUCACAGUGCCUGUGGAGGAGUGGGGUUGGCCUUUACUCCUCACUUCUGCAGCAGGAGAAAAAAAUCUGUCCCCAGAGGCAUCAUAUAUCCCUGGAUUUCCCGCCCCCACCCCCCCCCCUCCAACAGUUAUAAAUUGUCAGUAACUCAUGUGAGACUCUAAAAGCUUCUAUUGCUAUAACACCUAUGACCUAUGAUUCAGAGCAUCAUAAGUGAUGGCUCUGUAGCCUGAAAAAAUAUGGAGAAAAAGUACUGAGAAGCAAAAAGAGAUCUCUCAUGUUGCACAUUUUUGACACUUUCCUCCUAUGGCAAUGAGAUUUUUCUUAAGGAUUCUUUUUAUUGACUUGGCUUUAUCAUAGUGCAUGACAGCAUCUAUCCAGUGAGAGAUGACUUAACCUUUCUCCUCAAGUACUGAACCAGUCAGGUCCAGCCAGUCACAACAGGAUGCCAAAGACCUGACCUGAUGCUACACUCUUGAAGACCCACUUUAAAGACAUGUUUUCUUGAUAAAUUAGAAGUCAUUAUAAUUGUUUUACAGUUAAAUGUGAGUAGUUUAAAUGCCUCAGGGCUUCAUUUUGUCUUACUAGCUAGAAUUUUGUCCUGCAGCUUUGCCAAUAUGUCUGCACACUCUUUAGAAUUAAUCCUGGAUCUCCCUCCUUCCAUCCUACUGUAUUUCCAACUUCACAGAGUCUAUUUGUUUGGGACUUAUUUUCUAAGCCAUUAUUUUUCCUCUUACAUUAGUGUCUUGAAAUGGAACUACUCCACUGUUUUAAUCUACUACUUCUCUGAGUGCAAUAUGACUGCUUCAGUCCUUACUUCUCUGAUAAAUCUGCUGAGCAUUCAUUCAGGAAAGCUGUGUCCUUCUGCAAGGCGACCUACCACUGUUAUCUGACUUUUUAUCUGAAGGCAGUUUCUCAGCCAGUUUACAUUUUCCUGGUGUCAGUCAUGCACUUUGAGGGAAGGUUCUCUGAUAUCAGCCUGAUAUCAAAUCCCCUCUGCGUGAGAUAGUUCACAGGACCAUUGCACAGCAUGCUGAGAACUCUUCUGUAUCAUGAUGAGUGUUAUCAGCAUACCUCAAACUUGAUCAGCAGAAUGUAUUCUAGCAAACUAUUUAGUUGAUGCUUAUAGCCAUGCACUGCAAAGUACACAUCUGGAUCCACAGUCUCAAAGACAUGAAGCAGGUUACGGCAAUUCAGUCACAAAUGUAAGUGACAGGGGUGUUUGCAGACACAAGGAGGGUAAGGGUAAUGUAUACAACAUUGGCUUUCUGCCAUAAAUUUACAUAACUGCUUGGGAAUUAACCUGUCAAGACUCCUGGAUUCCCUCCCUGGUCAUGGGAGGCACAACUGGUGGAAGAUGCUCAGGUUGGGCUCAGCCUUGCACAACUUGCGGAAUAUGUCACAUUCUAACUGCACUUUUGAGACACUCAUUGGCAUAAUCCCAGGGACAAGAACAC